GGGCGAGGCCAUGCGCCCGCAGGGGGCGGCGCAGCUGCUGGCGCUGCUGCUGGUGCGGAUCGAAAUCGCCGAGCAGGCCUUUCGGGACAAGGACCUGCUGCUUCCAGGUUUUCAGAACUCGUCGAUGCUCUCAUGGCCUUGUGGCCAACGGGUCAUCCCAACACGCAUAGUGGGUGGAAGGGAUUCAGCGCUCGGGCACUGGCCGUGGCAGGGCAGCCUGCGUCUGUGGGGCUCCCACUUCUGCGGAGCGAGCCUGCUCAACCGCCGCUGGGUGCUCUCCGCCGCGCACUGCUUUGAAAACAACCAAGAUCCCUUUGACUGGUCGGUUCAGUUUGGGGAGCUGUCUGCCACACCAUCCAUUUGGAACUUGCAAGCCUACUACAACCGUUACAAUGUGGAUCGGAUUUUCCUGAGCCCCUUCUAUCUGGGAGCUCCGGUGUAUGACAUCGCCCUGGUGAAGCUGUCCUCCUCGGUCACCUACACUAAGUACAUCCAGCCCAUCUGUGUCGUGGCCUCCAUCUCCGAGUUUGAGAACAGAAGUGACUGCUGGGUGACCGGCUGGGGCGACGUUGAAGAAGAGCUGAGUCUGCCAUAUCCCUACACCCUCCAGGAAGUGCAGGUCGGGAUCAUAAACACCACCAUGUGUAAUCACCUGUUCUCAAUGCCCGAUUUCCGCACUGACAUCUGGGGAGACAUGAUUUGCGCUGGUGACCCUCAAGGUGGCAAGGAUUCCUGCUUUGGACCCAUACGGGGACCUGGGCCUGGCCUGGCCAGGAGUCUGUAGAGCCAGCAGGGGUGGAGCCCAGGAGCUUCUGAGCCGAUACCAGGAAGACGGGCAGCCAUGUGGAUGGCCUCUGAGGGCCUCACACCCCUGUCCUGGGGAAGAAGGUCUCCCACACAUGGUGCCCACCCAGCUCUGGCCCGCCCAGGCUGCUGUGCAGUUCGCGGGCAGCACCCCCUCCCCGCCACGAGAGGAAGUUCCCACGUCAACCCUGAGAGGUGCUGGGGGCAGAGCCAGAGGUGGUGCCCAGCGCCCAGCCCCCAGACCAGCUUCAGGUGGGGUCCCCCAGGCUGGAUGACGGUGCUCCCUUCAGAAGGAGAAGCAGGCUGCAGCCAGCCACCACACCAUCCUCACCCCCCUCAGUAUCCACCCCUGAGAAUCUCACCUGAGACCGGUGGGCCUCUCAGGAAGCCUCUUAUCUGAAGAAAUAGCCCCCUCAGGCCAUCAGGAGGCCCCGUGGGUGGCCCUGAAGGUGUUAUUUUGAUUUAAACAUGUCACAAACUGUACAGCGGCCUGGGAGACACACCCAACUGUC